UACGGCUACAUCAUGUUUAAACAUUGGUUCCCGUAUGAUCACUGAAGUUAAGCAACAUUGAGCCUGGUCAGUACCUAGAGGGGGGACUGCUUGGGAAUACCAGGUGCU